CCGCUGGUCGUCUAGUUGGUUUAUGGCACUGGACUGUAAUAUCACGUGAGCUGCUAUCCAGGUGUCGUCGGUUCGACUCCGACCCAGCGGA